GGUGAACGCUGGCGGCGUGGAUAAGGCAUGCAAGUCGAAUGGGUUUAGACCCAUGGCAGACGAGGUAGUAACACGUAGGUACGUACCCCAAAGUCAGGCAUAACCAGUCGAAAGACUGGAUAAUUCCUGAUAGUCCCGCAAGGGUAAAGAUUUAUCGCUUUGGGAGCGGCCUGCGUAGUAUCAGCUUGUUGGUAAGGUAAAAGCUUACCAAGGCUAUGACGCUUAGGGGAGGUGAGAGCCUGACCCCCACCGAUGGAACUGCGACACGGUCCAUACUCCUACGGGAGGCUGCAGCCGAGAAUAUUCCGCAAUGGACGAAAGUCUGACGGAGCGACGCCGCGUGAAGGAUGAAGGCCCUCGGGUCGUAAACUUCUUUUAUGAGGGAGGAAAUUUUUGACGUUACCUCAUGAAUAAGGAGCUCCUAAUUCCG
rnacentral:rRNA from 1 species